rnacentral:rRNA from 1 species
UACAGAGGUCCCAAGCGUUGUUCGGAUUCAUUGGGCGUAAAGGGUGCGUAGGUGGCACGCUAAGUCAGGUGUGAAAUUUCGGAGCUUAACUCCGAAACUGCAUUUGAUACUGGCGUGCUUGAGGACUGGAGAGGAGACUGGAAUUUACGGUGUAGCAGUGAAAUGCGUAGAGAUCGUAAGGAAGACCAGUGGCGAAGGCGGGUCUCUGGACAGUUCCUGACACUGAGGCACGAAGGCCAGGGGAGCAAACGGG